rnacentral:rRNA from 1 species
CAGCAGUAGCCGCGGUAAUACGAAGGGUGCAAGCGUUAAUCGGAAUUACUGGGCGUAAAGCGUGCGUAGGCGGUUUGUUAAGUCUGUUGUGAAAUCCCCGGGCUCAACCUGGGAAUGGCAAUGGAUACUGGCAAGCUAGAGUGUGUCAGAGGAUGGUGGAAUUCCCGGUGUAGCGGUGAAAUGCGUAGAGAUCGGGAGGAACAUCAGUGGCGAAGGCGGCCAUCUGGGACAACACUGACGCUGAGGCACGAAAGCGUGGGGAGCAAACAGGAUUAGAUACCCCAGUAGUCCCUGUCUCUUAUAC